UGUAUUUACUUGCUUUUCAGGUAUUUGACUGUUCCCAUAUCGGUUAUAACCAUAAGGAGAGUGAUUAUCAAAUAGUUACGGACUGCAUAAACAAACAAAAUAUGCUGCUUGGAAACAAUGAACUGUUGUAAAUUUGAAAAUAUCAAAUACCAGUUUAUUUCAAAAGCCAUUUCUUUGAAUUAUAUUUGUCGUACUAAUACUAUUAUUAAAUAUGUAAACAAAACUUUUUAUUAAAUAAAGAUAUCUUUCUAUGAUUAA